UUUGGAAGUCAAACGAGUUGUAAUACGAAAGUUGACAAAGAGCAUCGCAAGUUAAGUUUGUAAAUUUCACUGAAAUUUGGGUCAGAUGUCUCGGAGCUUUUAUCUCAAUCUACUUGGAGUUACGGGGUGAUCCACCUACCAAAUCGAAGGUCUACAAGUCUACUUUCCAGCACAUUUUACCGUUCAUCAAUACGACAUCGGAGUAGAAAGAUAUUCGCGUUUUCGUCCAAGGACGCAAACUGCUGCGUGAACAGUGAACAUAGUCGGUGCCUUUAUUUUGCCCCUAUAUAUAUACAUACCUUGGACGAAAUUUCCUUCAUUUUCUUCACCAUAAAAGGACCAGCAAACCCUAAGCAAUAUUCUCAAACCUUCUCCCAUCAAUCACAAACACUCCUAAAAGCAAAUCAAACAACUUCAACAUGGAGAAAACCAUGGCAAUUAUGGAAUUGUGAUUUGUUCGCUAAUUUGCUUUUCGGAUAAGAACUUCACCUUGAAGUAACUUGGAGUUUGAAGUGAUUUUGAUCAUCUAAGGAAAUCGUUCAUAAGGCGCUCGAGGACUCGGGAAACAUAUAUAACUCCAUUGACGAGGUAUGUAGGGCUUUCUAUUCUCUUUGUGGCAUGACUAGAUUUCAAAUGACCUUUCAUUGAAAAAUUUGUUCCGUUAACUUGGAUCGAUCGCGUUCCAUGAUAAUUGAGCUGACACAUACUUCAUCUAUGACUUGUACCAAAUUAUGGUCCACAUCUCCUUUUAGCCAUCGAUUAAAAGACUUUCCGUUCAACUUGUGUUGAUUAUGUCCCCAAAAUGGUUAAGCUUACCCUUUUCUCAUGAAUAGCUUGUAUUGAAGUACCUUUCACAUUUCGUAUCCCUCUUGUUUAUCGAAUGAAGAAUGAUAUUAGUUAUGGUACUCUUCACAUCAAAGUUGAGUUAAUUGUACUUCCUUUAAUUAAGUUAAUCCUUAUCUUCUUGUC